GAGAGAGAGAAUCAUAAGCAAGCUCUGAGCAUAGCCCAGAGCCUGACACAGUGCUCCAUCCCACAACCCUGGGAUGUGACCUAAGCCAAAAGCAAGAGUCAGACACUCAACUGACUGAGCCACCCAGGCGCCCAUGUUUCUGUUUUCUUUUAACUAGUACGUAUAGUAGUUCUGGGAAGAAUUUACCUUGUAUUCACCCUCCCUUUCUUGUCUCUUGUCUGUCUGUUUUCUAGUAGCCUUCUUGAAGUUUUAGUAGGAAUUUGCACUUUUCAGUGAUGUAGACUUUAUUUCCUUUUGGUGCAUCUUUGUUCUUGGUUGGGUCUGGAUUCUACAUUCAAUCUAUCAAUUGCCUUUUGGGUUCUGCCACAACUAAAACUGGCUUGAAAGAAUGCUGUGCCUUGUGGUUGAAACAUCAAAAGGGUACAAAUAGCAAAUACUGCUGAGGUCUCUUCCUUCCUGUAGGAACCUCCCCACCAGAUGCUGCCUCAUGCUGUGAUGCUUAUAAUUCAUAAAACAGUGUCAUUAUUUGAGGCCUUAGGGGAAUUCUAAGGAGGGCUGGUGGGGGAAAACAAUUGUAGAAAGUUCUACAGUGAUUUUUUUCCGUAUCUUCCAUUUGUAGAAUGUAGAAUAGUCUGCCAUUGCUUUUUUUGGUCUGAACAGUUUUGUUAUCCUCUAGCCGAGUGCAAAUCUCCAUAUGUAUAUGGGGACAUUGAGUGUCAGAGAAUUUCAUCAAUUCACCAACCCAUGAUGGAGUUACUGGGAGAUUUGGGAUUAGGAUAAAGUCUCCUGGCUGUUUGACAACUGCUCUUUUGUCCCAUGAUUCCAAGUCCUGUUGAUUAGAAAAAGCAUUAGUAGAAGGCUCAAUGGUGAAAAUACACAAUAAUAAAUAUAUUUAAUUUAGGCUGUUUAAUAAAUUCAGUUCAAGUUCUCUCUUAGCUAUGUACUGAAUUCAUAGCAUACUUUUUUGUCAUUUAUCUUAUAUUUUUCCUGUGAAGCUUGAACCUGUUUAGGUGCUAGAACAGGAAUUCACGAAUUGAGUUCUAGUUAUUUCCAUACUCUCCUCAUUUAGUCUCGAUUGGCUCAGAUGGUCCUUGACUUUUUUUCUUUUCAAAUAAUAUAUAAUCCAGAAGUUUCUUGCUCAAGGAUUUCACAGGGCAAAAGCUGAGGCAGCUACAUCAUCUAAGUGAGAAAGUGACUUUGGACAGUGAUGCUCAGAUUCAGUUACCUACUGCAUCGGGAUCACAGGGGCAUUUGUGCAAAUACAGGCUUCUCAGGUUCACUCCAGACCCUAAAAGUCCAUCUCUAGGAAGUGGAGCUCUGGCGUCCGCAUUUUAACAAAUGGCUCAGCUAAGAUGAACACAGAUACCCCUUGCUGUGUGACCAGAGUGGGAGAGGAAGAGUAUUGAGGGUGUCCUGUGCUGUCAUGAGAAUGAUGGAGGAAUGAAAACAGCUUCUGUAGAAAAAGUGAUAGUACAUCAGCCAGGGUUGGGUACAAAGCCUGGGCAGUUUUUAGAACUUUAGUUGGCUCUUAAGUUUUUCUCAUGGGGCCAGUCAGCAUGUUCAUGUGAAUUUUGCCAACAAAAUGAGAGGACAUGAGUGGGGCAGCUGGGUUCAGGGAUUGGCAUGUUGGCUCUGAGAAAGUCAAAGGAACAGGAACUGCUGGGUGAGCAUCAUUGACAUUGGAUGGCCUUGAGGUCCCAUCUUGGUAAGGAAGCUCAUGAAGCCUGGAUGAAGUGGGGUACAGGGAGAGUCAAGGAACUGCCUAUUAUGAUGUGGAUGAAGGGGAAGACUUGUAAGAAUGACAAGUGGAGAAGUGGGUAAAUGAAAAGCUCUGGAGAUUUGGAAGCCUAGAUAUUAAAGGUGAAGUAUUUCUGGAUAGUUCAGGUCCAAGAUGGGGACUUUGUGUAGCUCAAGUGGAAUGGAGGAGAAACCUUUCAAUGAAGGAGGGAGUCUUCCAGUUGUGCUUUGGGUUUUCCCAAGGGCCCCCACCUUCUUGAAGGCACCAAGCAGAGAUGAGCAUUGGAGGAACACAGUGAUUGUGGCAAGAAAAAAUCUUGGAGGUCAGGAGAUGAGUGAUGAGGUUAGGAAGUGAAACAGACAUAAGGUGGAGGCAGAGGUCUUGGAAUAGAGGUGUUAGGGCCUGGCCUGGGCAAAAGUCAGUUCAGCUGUAAUGGUGAUAAAUAACCCUUUCUUCCCUGGUUCUGUGAGUUAAGGAAAUUUGGGAAGCAAGCAGCCCUGGUUUGUGGGAAGUAGUAUCACAAAGGAAAAGUCAGAAUGCCAUUAAGACAAGCAGGUGGGGAAAGUGUAAACAAGAAGUUGAGAAUAUAAGAGUAUUACAUUUUUAAAACAGGUCAAGAGUUCCAGAGGCACAUCAGAAGGAAUUAGCAGAGGGGCAUCUGGGUGGCUCAUUUGGUUAAGCGUCUUCGGCCCAGGUCAUGAUCUCUCAGUUUGUGAGUUCAAGCUCCGCGUUAGGCUCUGUGCUGACAGCUUGGAGCCUGGAGCCUGCUUCGGAUUCUGUGUCUCCCUCUCUCUCUGCCCCUCCCCUACUCAUGUUUUCUCUCUCUCUCUCUUUCUCUCUCUCUCUCUCU